rnacentral:lncRNA from 1 species
CAUAGAGGAGGAUGAGCAAACUAGGCGGUUUUUGUAGAUUUUUUCAGACAAAUGGAAUAUUCCAAAGCCAUUCGGGCCCUUUGAACUGCCUUCAAUCCAUAAUAUUGUUUCUUGGAAGGACAGUGACUACUUAGUGGCUGCAGCGAAUUAAGCCGCUGUUAAGAGUAUGGCCUCUGAUAAAUCUCCGAGGCAAGAUGGAUUUCAGCUUUUAUUGUCAAAGUUUCUGGCCUAUCAUUAAAAAGUUGUGCAAGC